CCGGCCCUGCUGUCCCACGCACAUUCGUAAGCACUCCCUCCACGCGUUCCACGAGCCACGCACGACGCACCAAGCGCCAUCGUGGACGACUCGAGCGACCGGCCACCACGUUCAAUCUGCAGCCCAACCCGCCACCAAACGCACGCCGCCGUCCCGAUCUCCUCCGUCGCCUCUCUUCCCCGACGCCACGAGCUCGACUCGCUAAUGCCAUGGCGCCCGCUGCCUACCUUCGCUCGCCCGCGCGUCGCGGAAGAAGACCAUGCAUGGCAGGCUCCAUGAACCGAGUCGGCCUGCCGCCGGGACCAACGCCCGCGAAGGGAGCCAGCAUGUUUGUUACGGAGCACGAUGGCGCCGCGCCGGGGAACGACGGAGCUCGGAUUGGAGAUCCGGGUGGUAGAAGUCGGAGAGGACAAGCCAUGGCCGCCAGUGACAACAAGGAGCUUUCCGCGUCUGCGAAGGGGCGCGAUCGGGGAAGCCCACCGCCCAGAUCACUAGGCCAUGCCGUCGCCGCCGGCUAUCUCCACAACGAAACCACCCCGCCUCGAUUCCCAGCUUGCAGGCAUAUGCGGAUGUGCCCAGCCACGGGCAGAACAAUCACGCGACAGCACAAUGUUACUUCCCAUGUAGCCGGGCCAUCCACACCGCGUCAUCUUCCUUGGCGCUGAUUAUACUGGCUUCUCGGUUUCUUUUGUACGUGUCCGUCAUAACCGUGUGCAGUUUUGCAUGUGGCUCAUGUACGUGCGUGCGCGUGCUAAGUUGCUAAUAUGCUCGGCGGCAUUCCGCAGAGACCGUAGGACAUCCACACGGCGGCCGUCAUCUCGCCAGAGCAGCGGCGGCUGCUCUCCUUGCCGUUCAUCUAUGAUGGCGAUGCUGUCUCUACCUUCUCCAGUCAUGCAGUACGAGGAAGCAUCCAGGUACCGUGGUCAACAAAGGAGUCUCCUGCAAAAAAGAAAAAAAAAGAUUACACACAAAAAAAAUCAAGGAAAAAAGUGUGUCCACACAAAUUUCACUUCGAAACCGUGGAUAGGAUAAAGGCCACAGUGCAGAAGUCGCACCAUGAUCGAUAUGCUCAGUUCCAGGCUUAAAUUUAGCUUUUAUGUAGCAUGGUAAAUUAUGGUCACUAUAUAUAUGUCUAUAUCCUCAAAAUUGUGAUAUUUCUUCUGGUUUUCAAAAUUGCAUGGACUAGGAUUAUAUUCUGGUACUGUUGGAAGUGGAAAGAUAUAAACCAAGUAUAAGAAAUCUGAAGUAAAGAGAGAUCCAAUGAAUUAAAAGAUAUUGGAGUUAAUGGCGGUUAUUGUGUAUUGGUACAUAAUGAUCUAUUCAGACAAUCUUCGGCCCAGUAACCGAAUCCUUGGUACCACAGCUCUCCACGCAAAUGGAUACGUCAGGUAAUUCUUUCCAAUAACAUUCUUCUAUUAAAGGGAGGGAUGCCUUUUCUCAACAGUGAUUGAAACAGUCCCUGAAGUUAAAGGAAAUUGCUCACCAUACCAUCGAUAAGUAGGAAAAAAACAUCGAUCCUCCCAUACGCCACUUGGCAUGCCGCUGCCCGAGGUAGCUUAUUGUUUUUAUACUUACGAAAUGUUUUUUGAGUCAUAAAUAAUUUUGUAUCCGUUGCAACGCACGGGCACUUUUGCUAGAUUGACUCCGUGGGUUCACCGUCACAAUACGCUUCUUCCCGUGAAUUUACGUUUUCAGUUUUUUUUUCAACAUGUGCAUAUUUUUCCAAAAUCCAAGGUGGUACUAAUCCGGUCUGUGCGUCAAAAACAUUGGUUUAAUUCGGUUUUCUCUUUCGUGUCUGACUCAUACACGUACCUCCCAUCUAGACAGUUCGGUUUUCAAACUGGUAAUACCCUAACCCCUACGAUAAAUAUCAGAUAAGAGGGAGGCGGUCGAUACCGUAGAGGUGGAGAAGCAAAACACGAAACGGCCGGCCGAUCCCACAUGGACGACGGAGCGGCUGGAGGAGAAGCAACACGUGAAAGCGGCCUGUCGAGGAGGCGUGCGGAGGGCGAUCCCAUGGGUAGAGCGGAGCGGCCGGUCAAGGAGGCACGCUGAGGCCGAUCCCACGUGGACGACGGAGCAACCGGUGGAGCAGGUGCAUGGAGGCCGAUCCCAUGGGGACAGGGCCGGCCCUGAGGGGGGGCAGGGGGGCGGCCGCCCCGGGCCCCCACUGUGGAGGGGCCCCCAAUUAUGUAUUGCAUUAGGCCUAUAAUUUCAUGGGUGCAGUAAAAAAAGAUCAUUAGGGCUGGGCCAUAGCCCAAGUAGUAGCAGCUCUCGUGAUGCAGCGUGACUUACAUCGCCGUCACUCACGCAUCUACUCGCGGGAUCCACCCAGAAACCCACGCAUGCAUCGCCAUCAUGUACGCAGCAGCCGCCGCCUUUGCUCCUCCUCCUCACGCCCAGAUUAUGACAGAUGAACCAAAGCUUGCUCAAGGAGGAAGCCCAGAUCUCAAGGGACGGAGCGACGGGUGCGCGCCGGAGAUCAGCAGCGGACCAGAGCUGUUGUGUGUCGUCUGUAGAGAUCUCAUCAUCAAAUAGAUCAAGGGAAGAACCAGGUUCUGGAUGCUGCUCAUGGCGGUUGGUUAUAUAUGAGCUGAGCAAUGACGGCACAAUCUGUUAAGGGCCCCCGGAUUUUAGUUUCGCCCCGGGCCCCCAAAAUCUCAGGACCGGCCCUGCAUGGGGACGAGGGGAAACUCCUGACGGAGCAGCCGGUGGAGCAGGUGCAUGGAGGACGAUCCCAUGGGGACGAGGAGAAAACUCCUGGAGGCACGCGGACGCAGGGAAAGGAAGGCGAACCCAUCCAAGAGGUACGUACCAGUCUGAAGAGAUUGGACGCGCGGCUGUGCUGCGGUUGGAGUUACGGACUUCUGGGCACUCAACAAGGAUGGACAGGCGCUGUACAUGGUGGCGCUGUGUUGUUCGCCGACGUUGCUUCCCCAAUCCAGCUGUCCUACACUCCUCCGCUCGCGGGCAUGUGGAACGGGGUGCGCAACACAGGUCGGGGCGCUUAAUCCGAACACAAGGCCGAGAUAGCUUCAUCCAGACCAUGAGUUCAAGGUAACGCUUGUGUACAAAGCUAGCUACGUGAGCUAGCUACCUAAGCUUUUGUAUCGGCUUCCUUGCGGACAGAUUGACGAGGAACAGGCACUCGUGAGGACCAGAGCUAGCGUCGGCUCCGCUGCACACGGCGGAUGACGCAGACCACACAGGUUGUCGCCUGAACUGUCUUUGUCUCCUGAUGAUGAACAUUUUACUUAUCCUUCCUCUGCAUAAUUGAACAAAGGGUUAUGAUCAUUGUAUAGACUUCUCAAAGCAUUGAUUAUAUUUCCGACCUGCACAUUAGUUGAAACACAAUUACACUACGUAUAUUUAGUGAAUUUGCAUACUAUUAUUGUUUGAGUAGAAGAAUAUUUCCCAACUUUAAAUUGUCUAUCAGAAUAUAAUGAUGUUGAUUCCUUUGAUAUGUGUACGGGCAAAAGUGAUUAUAUUUUUCAUGACUCCUUUGUGCUAUUUUC